rnacentral:rRNA from 1 species
AUACGGAGGGUGCAAGCGUUAUCCGGAAUCAUUGGGCUUAAAGGGUCCGUAGGCGGGCAAUUAAGUCAGAGGUGAAAUCCCACAGCUCAACUGUGGAACUGCCUUUGAUACUGGUUGUCUUGAGUUAUAGUGAAUUAGAUAGAAUGUGUAGUGUAGCGGUGAAAUGCAUAGAUAUUACACAGAAUACCGAUUGCGAAGGCAGUCUACUAACUGUUGACUGACGCUAAUGGACGAAAGCGUGGGGAGCGAACAGGAUUAGAAACCCCAGUAGUCC